rnacentral:rRNA from 1 species
UGAGUAGAGUGGCGCACGGGUGAGUAACGCGUGGGUAAUCUACCCUUGGAUUUGGGAUAACUCUGCGAAAGUGGAGCUAAUACCGGAUAGUCUGGCUUUAAAUAAGAAGUCGGUAAAGGAUGCCUCUGCAUAUGCAUUCGUCCGAGGAUGAGCCCGCGUCUCAUUAGCUAGUUGGUAGGGUAAUGGCCUACCAAGGCAACGAUGAGUAGCUGGUCUGAGAGGAUGAUCAGCCACACUGGAACUGAAACACGGUCCAGACUCCUACGGGAGGCAGCAGUGGGGAAUAUUGCGCAAUGGGCGAAAGCCUGACGCAGCAACGCCGUGUGAGGGAUGAAGGCUUUCGGGUCGUAAACCUCUGUCGGAAGGGAAGAACGGGCAUUGGUCUAAUAGGCCUUUGUUUUGACGGUACCUUUAGAGGAAGCACCGGCUAACUCCGUGCCAGCAGCCGCGGUAAUACGGAGGGUGCAAGCGUUAUUCGGAAUUACUGGGCGUAAAGCGCACGUAGGCGGCCUUGUAAGUCAGGGGUGAAAUCCCACGGCUCAACCGUGGAACUGCCUUUGAAACUGCAGGGCUUGAAUCCUGGAGAGGGUGGCGGAAUUCCUGGUGUAGGAGUGAAAUCCGUAGAUAUCAGGAGGAACACCGGUGGCGAAGGCGGCCACCUGGACAGGUAUUGACGCUGAGGUGCGAAAGUGUGGGGAGCAAACAGGAUUAGAUACCCUGGUAGUCCACACCGUAAACGAUGGAUACUAGGUGUCGGGGACUUGAUCUUCGGUGCCGUAGCUAACGCGUUAAGUAUCCCGCCUGGGGAGUACGGUCGCAAGGCUGAAACUCAAAGAAAUUGACGGGGGCCCGCACAAGCGGUGGAGUAUGUGGGUUUAAUUCGAUGCAAC